rnacentral:rRNA from 1 species
UACGGGGGGGGCAAGCGUUGUCCGGAAUCAUUGGGCGUAAAGAGCGUGUAGGCGGCCCGGUAAGUCCGCUGUGAAAGUCGGGGGCUCAACCCUCGAAUGCCGGUGGAUACUGUCGGGCUAGAGUGCGGAAGAGGCGAGUGGAAUUCCUGGUGUAGCGGUGAAACGCGCAGAUAUCAGGAGGAACACCAAUUGCGAAGGCAGCUCGCUGGGACGUAACUGACGCUGAGACGCGAAAGCGUGGGGAGCAAACAGG